GGGGUUGUAGCUCAGUGGUAGAGCACUUGCCUAGCAAGAGUGUGAGGAAUUGAGUUCAAUUCUCAGCAGCACAU
rnacentral:tRNA from 1 species